GCUAAGCCCUAAACAUUGAUUAGCCACAUACAACUUCUCCGCCAGAGAACUACAAGUGAAAAACUUGAAACUCAAAGGACUUGACGGUGUCCCAUAUCGGCCUAGAGGAGCCUGUCCUAUAAUCGAUACUCCACGUUUUACCUAACCCUAACUAGCACAUAUCAGCCUAUAUACCGCCGUCGACAGCCUACCCUAUGAAGGUCUAACAGUAGACACAAUAACCUAACCGCUAGAACGUCAGGUCAAGGUGUAGCAAAUGCUAGGGAAGAGAUUGGCUACAUUUUUUAUAAUAAAAAACACGAAAAGUACUAUGAAACCGUACAUGAAGGUGAAUUUAGCAGUAAAAUAAAUAAGAGUAUUUAUUUUAACAACGCUCUGGGACGCGUACACACCGCCCGUCACCCUCCUCAAACAACAUAAACUAUCUUUAUAAACCAAAAAAGUUAUAUAGAGGAGGC
rnacentral:rRNA from 1 species